rnacentral:rRNA from 1 species
GUCGAGAAUCUUCCCCAAUGGGCGAAAGCCUGAGGGAGCGACGCCGCGUGAGGGAUGAAGGCCCUUUGGGUUGUAAACCUCUGUUAGGGGGAAAGAAAAGCAGUGGAAGCAAUAUGUCCAUUGCCUGACGUUACCCCCAGAGAAAGCUCCGGCCAACUCCGUGCCAGCAGCCGCGGUAAUACGGGGGGAGCAAGCGUUGUCCGGAAUCAUUGGGCGUAAAGGGCGUGUAGGCGGCUUGGCAAGUCGAAUGUGAAAUCCCACGGCUCAACCGUGGAACUGCGUUCGAAACUGCCUUGCUUGAGUGCGGGAGAGGUGUGCGGAAUUCCUGGUGUAGCGGUGGAAUGCGUAGAUAUCAGGAAGAACACCGGUGGCGAAGGCGGCACACUGGCCCAGCACUGACGCUGAGGCGCGAAAGCGUGGGGAGCGAACGGGAUUAGAUACCCUAGUAGUCC